AUGAUUCAGCGGCACAUCGAUUCUGAAUCAAAAAAUCUCUGCCUGCUGCAGCCUUCACCUCCCUCCCGCAUGGGCUCCGCAUCUAGCGCCUGGAGCACAACGCAUCUGCCAGCCGAUGUCGACGACACUAAUGGAGAGGGCGAGGUCGUCCAGCAAGAUGAGUCUGUCCACCGGCCUCUCACCCAUGAUUUGGGCAGCAUGGUGGGGCAAGAUUCACGGGAAGAAGGAUUUGGUGAUUACGAUCCAGCUGCUGCUCCGGAUUCGCCGCGUAGCACUGGUAGUUCUGCCGUCGACGACCAAUCUGGUGUCAUGUGUGGUGGCAACGUGGAAGACUCUGAAGAUGAGGAGGACAUUAUCAGCAUGCUGCCUAAACACCGCUGUAUAAUAGACUAG
rnacentral:rRNA from 1 species